CCGGGCGCACGGGUGAGUAACACGUACCCAACCUGCCGUCUACUCUUGGACAGCCUUCUGAAAGGAAGAUUAAUACAAGAUGGCAUCAUGAGUCCGCAUGUUCACAUGAUUAAAGGUAUUCCGGUAGACGAUGGGGAUGCGUUCCAUUAGAUAGUAGGCGGGGUAACGGCCCACCUAGUCUUCGAUGGAUAGGGGUUCUGAGAGGAAGGUCCCCCACAUUGGAACUGAGACACGGUCCAA
rnacentral:rRNA from 1 species